CGCCCAGAGAUCAGACAGUAGUUGUUUGUGCUGGAGCUCAAGACCUAUUCGGUUAUUCUGGCCAAGGCACAAUUAGUGGAGAGGAGCUUCCGCACCUUCUCUCAGGCAGCAGGGAACCUUAGACCCUUAGCUCCACCCCACAAACCAGCACCUACUGUGCCUGUUCAACUUAACAAGAGGCUUAGGCCGAUGAUCCAGGCUCCCCCUCAGGCUCUAGUGGCAGGGAUCAUGGGA
rnacentral:lncRNA from 1 species